rnacentral:rRNA from 1 species
ACUGCGAAUGGCUCAUUAUAUAAGUUAUCGUUUAUUUGAUAGUACCUUACUACUUGGAUAACCGUGGUAAUUCUAGAGCUAAUACAUGCUAAAAAUCCCGACUUCGGAAGGGAUGUAUUUAUUAGAUUAAAAACCAAUGCCCUCUGGGCUCUCUGGUGAUUCAUGAUAACUUCUCGAAUCGCAUGGCCUUGCGCCGGCGAUGGUUCAUUCAAAUUUCUUCCCUAUCAACUUUCGAUGUUUGGGUAUUGGCCAAACAUGGUCGCAACGGGUAACGGAGGGUUAGGGCUCGACCCCGGAGAAGGAGCCUGAGAAACGGCUACUACAUCCAAGGAAGGCAGCAGGCGCGCAAAUUACCCAAUCCCGACACGGGGAGGUAGUGACAAUAAAUACUGAUACAGGGCUCUUUCGGGUCUUGUAAUUGGAAUGAGUACAAUUUAAAUCCCUUAACGAGGAACAAUUGGAGGGCAAGUCUGGUGCCAGCAGCCGCGGUAAUUCCAGCUCCAAUAGCGUAUAUUAAAGUUGUUGUGGUUAAAAAGCUCGUAGUUGAACCUUGGGCCUGGCUGGCCGGUCCGCCUCACCGCGUGUACUGGUCCGGCCGGGCCUUUCCCUCUGUGGAACCUCAUGCCCUUCACUGGGCGUGACGGGGAAACAGGACUUUUACUGUGAAAAAAUUAGAGUGCUCCAGGCAGGCCUAUGCUCGAAUACAUUAGCAUGGAAUAAUGAAAUAGGACGUGCGGUUCUAUUUUGUUGGUUUCUAGGACCGCCGUAAUGAUUAAUAGGGACAGUCGGGGGCAUCAGUAUUCAAUUGUCAGAGGUGAAAUUCUUGGAUUUAUUGAAGACUAACUACUGCGAAAGCAUUUGCCAAGGAUGUUUUCAUUAAUCAGGAACGAAAGUUAGGGGAUCGAAGACGAUCAGAUACCGUCGUAGUCUUAACCAUAAACUAUGCCGACUAGGGAUCGGACGAUGUAAAUAAUUGACUCGUUCGGCACCUUACGAGAAAUCAAAGUG